AUUGCUUUUGCUCGUAAACUACGGAUCGGCAACUUGUUUGGAGAACCCUGAAGGGGUCAAAGAUACCGAUCUAACGUUCGUCCACCGACGAAGAAAUGUAAACGAAUGAUUUUUAGAUAGUCUGUGAGAUUGGAUAUGAAGAAAUAUGAAGUGAGUUUCUAUGUGCAACUAGGUAGAGAUUUAAUUGCUAAUGCAGAGCGAUAUGUUUGAAACUGUUUUUAGAAUCUUAUAGUAGCAUUAGAAGCCAAAGUCUUGUUCGUAUUAGACAAAUUACUUGAACUUU
rnacentral:misc_RNA from 1 species